AUGUCAAUGAUGCAUUCUUUUUGAAACUGAAUUUAAGUGAUCUAAUUCAAAUUCAUCACUACACUAGAGAAUCUCAU
ensembl:snoRNA